CAGAGGGGGCAAGCGUUGUUCGGAAUUACUGGGCGUAAAGGGCGCGUAGGCGGCCUGCUAAGUCGAACGUGAAAUCCCUGGGCUCAACCCAGGAACUGCGUCCGAUACUGGUUGGCUUGAAUCCGGGAGAGGGAUGUGGAAUUCCAGGUGUAGCGGUGAAAUGCGUAGAUAUCUGGAGGAACACCGGUGGCGAAGGCGACAUCCUGGACCGGCAUUGACGCUGAGGCGCGAAAGCCAGGGGAGCAAACGGGAUUAGAUACCCCGGUAGUCCUGGCCCUAAACGAUGAAUGCUUGGUGUGGCGGGUAUCGAUCCCUGCCGUGCCGAAGCUAACGCAUUAAGCAUUCCGCCUGGGGAGUACGGUCGCAAGGCUG
rnacentral:rRNA from 1 species